AAAAAACUUUGCUUGGAAACUUGCUAAAGAAACACCACACAUAUUUGAUAUCCAUAGGAAAAAAAUGAGCAGAGCCAUAUACCCAUCUUCCAUUGCAAUUACUGCAGAGGAGAGGAGAUUGAGAAGUAAAAAUGAAGCAUUUCAAGGAUGAAUGGACACUGGAAAUUGGUAAAGUGGCAGCAAAGUCCAAGUUUGAAGAAUGAAGAAGUGAAUGUACAUAGAAAAAGCAGUUUGGAAAACAUGAGAAAAAAUGAUACUUUGUAGAAACAUCUGUUUGCUGUUGCUGAAAAAAAUUAGCAUUUAAAUGUCCUCAUUUGGUUCUGAAGUUAGCACUUCACUGAAGUAGUUCACACCUUUACUCUUGCUCCUGUUCAGCUACAGAUCAUUUUAUGCAAGGCUGAUUUUAACAAGAAAAUGGUGCAUUAAUUUA